CUUGGUCAUUUAGAGGAAGUAAAAGUCGUAACAAGGUCUCCGUUGGUGAACCAGCGGAGGGAUCAUUACAGAGUUGCAAAACUCCCAACCCUUUGUGAACGAACCUACCAGUUGCCUCGGCGGCGAGCCUUUCAGGCGGACCGCCGAAGGAAUACAAACUCUUUGCAUUAUAGUAUCUCUGAUUACUUAUUCAAUAAGUUAAAACUUUCAACAACGGAUCUCUUGGUUCUGGCAUCGAUGAAGAGCGCAGCGAAAUGCGAUAAGUAAUGUGAAUUGCAGAAUUCAGUGAAUCAUCGAAUCUUUGAACGCACAUUGCGCCCGCUAGUAUUCUGGCGGGCAUGCCUGUUCGAGCGUCAUUUCAACCAUCAAGCCCUAGGCUUGUGUUGGAGCCCUGCGGCUGCCGCAGCCUCCUAAAAACAGUGGCGGGCUCGCUAUCACACCGAGUGCAGUAGUUUACUCUUCGCUCAGGGCGUGUGGCGGGUGCUGGCCGUGAAACCCCCUACUCCUUAAGGUUGACCUCGGAUCAGGUAGGAAUACCCGCUGAACUUAAGCAUAUCAAUAAGCGGAGGA
rnacentral:rRNA from 1 species